rnacentral:rRNA from 1 species
AACGCGAAGAACCUUACCUACCCUUGACAUCCCGCGAAUCCUGUAGAGAUAUGGGAGUGCCGAAAGGAACGCGGAGACAGGUGCUGCAUGGCUGUCGUCAGCUCGUGUUGUGAGAUGUUGGGUUAAGUCCCGUAACGAGCGCAACCCUUAUCCUUAGUUGCCAACACGUCAUGGUGGGGACUCUAAGGAGACUGCUGGUGAUGAACCGGAGGAAGGCGGGGACGACGUCAAGUCAUCAUGGCCUUUAUGGGUAGGGCUACACACGUGCUACAAUGGACAGUACAGAGGGUCGCGAAGCCGCGAGGUGGAGCCAAUCCCAGAAAGCUGUUCGUAGUCCGGAUUGAAGUCUGCAACUCGACUUCAUGAAGUCGGAAUCGCUAGUAAUCGCGAAUCAGAAUGUCGCGGUGAAUACGUUCCCGGGCCUUGUACACACCGGUAUCUC